UCACCCAGCAGAUGCCCAAAUAUUCCAACGGCACACCCAAUUUGUUCACAGGAGCUUCCAAAUGGAUAAGGCUUGUCAAACAAAUGGUGGAACUCCCCAACACUUCAACAAACCGAAACAGCUGAGAAAAGCUCUGAAAGACAGAGCCAAUCACUCAAGGACAGCAGCCCAAACAGUUCCAACAGAUCAAAAGAGCCUCUAGAUCGACAUGAGGAAAAAGCCCAAGGUCCAAGGAUAGCCGGAAAUUUACAAGAGUCAGACUUUCUUCAAGUCAAAAACAAAAUCCAGCCACUCAUUUCUGUGCUUCACUACCUGACAGGGGAAGCUGUGGCUGGAGUAAAGGAAUUCCACCAGCUACAUAGAACUGUACCGUCUUUCCUCUCCACCCAGGACUAAGGCACGAUUGCCAUACAAGAAAAAGCACCUUGCCAGUAUUGUUCAAAAUACUUGGGACUUGAAGCCAAGUCAGGACACCAUGUUGGCCUCUACAGUUGUAUCUGUUGAAGUGAUUAUGAGCUCUGAAGUAACUAUUAAAUUACCAAAGCAAGAGAGUGAAAAGACUUCAUUCCUGCUGGGCAGCAAACCUUGAGUUGGUAUUGAUUCAUUGACAACAGUGAUUUCUUUACUAGAAAUGAGCCAGGAAGCUGACAGAGAUCAUCGUGGGUUCCCUACAAUGAGUUCGGUAGCUGUCAUAAUAUUUUAUGACAAGCUGGGGCUUCAGUUUUUAACAGCUCUAUUAACCUGCCGUGCAACAUAUACAAAUCCAUAUCUAAUUGAUGUUAUCACCUUAUCACCAGUACUGUUACUUUAUUGGUUGGCUCUCAUUUCAUCUUUGUUUUCUUGAUCUUAUUCAACAAAGCUGGAAAGCUGACAUCAAUCAUGUUCACCAUCACCCCUCAGUAUGUGGUUCCCACACACUUCUUCCCUUCCUGUCACUCCACACUUGGAUCAGGAACUUCCCUUUCCUGGGCUAUGUUGAUUCAGAAAAGUGGGGAUCCUUGAGUACAAUGGAAGCUUUCCCUCUCAGCUCAGGUGAGCAUAACUUGGGGUGCUGGGGUCCCAGACAAACUAACAACCACUAAAGCAAUUCUAGGCCAGUGGCUCCCGGGUCUCUUGCCACAUGAAUUUUAAGAAUGAAUUUCAUGAACAGGAAGAGUGAGCUUAGAAAGGAGUUUUAUAAUACUACAGGUGGGAGCCUAAAUGAAAGAAGGCAGAGUUCCUGUACAGUGUGCAGGAGGCCCGGAAGUAGGAUGCCACUGAGGUGUUUAUAGCACUUCCACCAGAAACUGAGGUGCGGCAAGGGAUGGGAAAAUGCACUGGUUUGUCCAGGUGCCUCUCUGUUUUGAUCACGUCCUCACAUACAGUUUCCAGGCAGGGAUGAUCAUUUAGGGGAAGAGAGAUAAUAAACCAGUGAGAUUUAGAGAAAACAUGGUAAUAAACUCCCUUCAGGCAUUCCCAGCUUCUACUAAGAACAGACCUGUUGACAGGACUAAGAACAUUUCCAGCCUCUAUCCAAGGAUGAGUCAAAACUGUUCGUGUUUGGAGGCUCUGCCUGAACCUUUCUAUCACCUGUAUUCAUCAGCGUCAACAGCUGCCUAUGAGUGAUGGGACAGCAGGCCUUUUUCAUCAAGUGUAUUCUCUAGCCAAGUGAUUUUAAUUUUGACCCAAGACAGACGUGGUGCGUGAGCUUACGCAGAUGCCUUCCUUAGGUGCUCCUCACUGCAGGUUGAGGGGCUUACAGAGUCUCUCCCGCCUCACCAGCUCGCUCUCUGUUGUUGUCCAGACGUUUUCCUAUGGGCUGAAGUCUUAGGUUGACAGGACUAUGAGCUGAUUGGAAGUCCUAGAAUCUUUAGUAAGUGUAACCUACUGGGAGAGAGGUCUUCCAGACCAUGCCCUUGGAGAGAGCAUUGGGACCCAGCUCCCUCUCUUGUUUUGCUUCCUGGUUGCCAUGAGACAAGUAGCUUUGUACCAUCAUGAAUACACUCCCUGUGAUGAUGCGUUGCCUCCCCACAAGCCCCAAAGAUACAGAACUAACAAACUGUGGACCAAACCUGUUACAAGUUAAUCCCCCAGGGUUUAAACAGCAAGAGGACUAACAGGACACUAGCAUCAUUGAACUUGAAUUUUAGCUGUGCUCUGUUCACCAUUUCUCUUCUCUAGCCUUUGGUUCUAGUUGUCCCCAAAUGAUCUCCCAACCAUAUCCUGGCUUCUGGCUACCCUUUAACACAGUUCAGGUAUUAUUAUCUCUUCAAAGAAACCCUGCCUCUCUACAUGUAAUCCUUAUGCACCAUGCUACCCAUGGCUAUACCCAUGUUCCCAUGACUCAGGGAGCAAAAUUAAGUCUUUACAGCAUGUAUUACUGUAACGAUCAUUUCCCUCAUUACAUUUUGGAGUCACCCUUGCAUGAAUAUUUCAUUAUUAAUAUUGUAUCAUUAAUGUCUUGUAAGUAAUUUAAUCUUAAUUAAAAUUUAAGGUUAUCUUUCAAGGCACCAGGUUUUGUCAUGGCAGCAUCAUUGUCAUCGUAUGUGUCCUUAUAUUCUUAUUUGUUUCCCUCCCCAAAGUACCCCUCCAAAUUUGUGUGUCUCUUUAGAACAUUAGCUCAUUAUUUUAAGACAUAGGAUCUGAAAAAAAGAAGACGGCCUGGAUGAAAACACAAUAGAACGAGAUUUGAUAAUGAUUCAUAAACAGUAAUGGGGUGGAGGCCUAGUUCAGUAGGAGAGUUAACUACCGUGUGCAAGUCCCUGGGUUCAAUUUCCAGCCUGAAUCUGAAAGGAUGUCCAAUCACACUAACAACAAGAGAAACACGAAGUACUGUCACCAUGUCUUAUCUGUCUCCUGGGGGAAAAACCAAAGCUGAACAGCAUAUUCUGUGACCAAGUGACAGGAAUAGCCAAACAGGCAUUCUCAGAAGCUGUGAGUAGGAAUUCAAAAUGAUAUAACCAUUAUGGGGUGGGAGAAUAAAGGUCUAUAUGGCUUCCCCUUGAACCAACAAUAUCGCUUCCAGAAGUCUAGUCUAAAGAUGUUGGCAAAACAGCUGCAGAUGUUAUGCUAUAUUUUAUAGCACUAUGUGUAUAAAAAGUAUAAUUCAACAUAUAUAAUCUAAAAAUAUAAUCAGACAAUGGCUCUUUUGAGGAAAGAGUCUUUUCAUAGAGAGAUGCCAAUACCUCAAACACAGUAAUGAGGAUUGGGAAGCCUCUCAGAGUAGAGAAGAUUCUGUAACUAUGAACCAGUAUAGAGUAGUCUGAUACAGGCUUGAGUCAAAGGAAACAACACAGAAAGCCAGGAACACAACUCCAGUUGUGCACACUGGGAAACAGUUCUGUUUGGAAGGACCUCUGUGUAAGCAUCCUGGUGUACGGAUGUCUGUGUGGUCUAGUUGUCUCAGGGCAAGCACCCUGUAUCUUAGGGGUGAUCAUGCUUUGUAUUUUUCCUUCUUUGUUCCCUACAAUUUGUCCCUCUAGGACAUUCUUUAAAAAUGCUGAGAAACAUGGGCGAUAGAGCCUGGUAAGCUGUCUUAGGACAUCGUGGACAAGAGCCUUCUGAUUGGUUGUAGGCAGACAAGGGGCAGAGGUGGUGGGAUGCAGC
rnacentral:sRNA from 1 species